UCCGCAGGUUCACCUACGGAAACCUUGUUACGACU
rnacentral:rRNA from 1 species